rnacentral:tRNA from 1 species
UAGCUCAAUUGGUAGAGCAUGAGACUCUGAAUCUCAGGGUCAUGGGUUAGUGCCCCAC